rnacentral:rRNA from 1 species
GACGAACGCUGGCGGCGUGCUUAACACAUGCAAGUCACGGGGGCCCGCAAGGGCAACCGGCGAACGGGUGCGUAACACGUGAGCAAGCUUCCGAUUUGUGGGGGAUAGCCGGCCUAACGGCCGGGUAAUACCGCAUACGUUCACCGGACGGCAUCGUCUGGUGAGGAAACCUCCGGGGCAAAUCGAGGCGCUCGCGGCCUAUCAGCUAGUUGGCGGGGUAACGGCCCACCAAGGCGACGACGGGUAGCUGGUCUGAGAGGAUGGCCAGCCACAUUGGGACUGCGACACGGCUCAGACUCCUACGGGAGGCAGCAGUGGGGAAUAUUGCGCAAUGGACGAAAGUCUGACGCAGCGACGCCGCGUGUGGGAUGACGCCUUUCGGGGCGUAAACCACUGUUGCCCGGGACGAAACUCCUUUUUCGAGAGGAUUGACGGUACCGGGUGAGGAAGCACCGGCUAACUCUGUGCCAGCAGCCGCGGUAAUACAGAGGGUGCGAGCGUUGUCCGGAAUCACUA